GGAAUUUUGCGCAAUGGGGGAAACCCUGACGCAGCAACGCCAUGUGUGGGAUGAAGCAUUUCGGUGCGUAAACCACUGUCGGCAGGGAACAAUCGGGCAAUAGCCUGAUGAGUGUACCUGCAGAGGAAGCCCCGGCUAACUUCGUCCCAGCAGCCGCGGUAAUACGGGGGGGGCAAGUGGUGUUCGGAAUCACUGGGCGUAAAGGGAGCGUAGGCGGGUGCUUAAGUUGGGUGUUUAAUCCCGGGGCCCAACCCCGGACCGGCACCCAAAACUGGGCAUCUUGAAUAGGACAGAGGCCAGUGGAAUUGGAGGUGUAGCGGUGGAAUGCGUAGAGAUCUCCAAGAACACCAGUUGCGAAGGCGGCUGGCUGGGUCCAUAUUGACGCUGAGGCUCGAAAGCGUGGGGAGCGAA
rnacentral:rRNA from 1 species